rnacentral:lncRNA from 1 species
GAAAUUUUAAUAUUUAUUUUUCAGUUUUCCGCGGACACAACAUCUUUGUAUGUGGUGCUGAGGAUCAAACCCAGGCCACACACACGCCAGGCAAGCACGCUACCGCUUGAGCCACAUCCCCAGCCCCAAGUUAUGUGUAAUUUUUUUAACAACCAAAAAUAAUGAAUGCAUAUAAUGUUUCUCAAAUAAUCCUAUAGAAGUAGACAAAAAAAUAGAAAAAUGGUCAUGUAAAAUAAUACAAAAAGACUAAGGAUAUAGUUCAGUUGGUAGAGCAUUUACCUACCAUGUGUGAGGCCCUAUAUUCAAUCCCCAGCAACAUAAAAUAGAAAAAGAAAAAGGAAUUGAUUUUAAUUUUUUUGAGUAGCAUUUCUUUCUUAUUUAUAUAGUAUCAUAAUUCUUCCAUGCUAUCCCUGAAUAACACAUUUUAAACAGUCAAUAUGAAGACUUUGGAUCUGGAAAAUAAUGGCAUUCACCUGACUCCAAACCACCCCUACUCCCAAUACCCUCAUAUCAUCUCUUCAAACUAUAAAAUCAACAAAGAAUUUAAACAAACUAGACAUGACAGUUUACAGCAUUACUGGGUAGUGAGGGGAAAAAAGAAGGAAAUGGGGGAGGGGAGAUUAAGGAUCAUGCAAAAGAAAAAGAAAACCUUCACCAUUCUACCAUGACAAAUAACAUCAUCACCCAUUGGAUGAUCUCACUCCACUAAAUUGACAAGAGACUGCUUUUAAGUUAGGAACCUGAUCAACCAAAUGCCCGAAAAUGAAAAGAUUAAAA